AAAUUGAAGAGUUUGAUCAUGGCUCAGAUUGAACGCUGGCGGCAGGCCUAACACAUGCAAGUCGAACGGUAACAGGAAGCAGCUUGCUGCUUCGCUGACGAGUGGCGGAC
rnacentral:rRNA from 36 species